rnacentral:misc_RNA from 1 species
UCGUACAAAAUGUGUGAGGCGUGCAAGGGCUGUCGCUGACUUUUAACGCAAAAGUCGUGCACGCCGGAGCGUGUCCUCUCACAUAAAAUCCAUCUCACCCUUUUGUGCACCACCGCGUGGGCACCCUUCGGGAUCAAACCGAUCCCGGAGGGGGCUUGCGUUUUCACACAAACCCCUUCUUAAAAGUGUAGAAUGUCCCCAUUUUUGCGAUAACACGCAAUCAAUA